GGUUAAGCGACUAAGCGUACACGGUGGAUGCCCUGGCAGUCAGAGGCGAUGAAGGACGUGCUAAUCUGCGAUAAGCGUCGGUAAGGUGAUAUGAACCGUUAUAACCGGCGAUUUCCGAAUGGGGAAACCCAGUGUGAUUCGUCACACUAUCAUUAACUGAAUCCAUAGGUUAAUGAGGCGAACCGGGGGAACUGAAACAUCUAAGUACCCCGAGGAAAAGAAAUCAACCGAGAUUCCCCCAGUAGCGGCGAGCGAACGGGGAGCAGCCCAGAGCCUGAAUCAGUGUGUGUGUUAGUGGAAGCGUCUGGAAAGGCGCGCGAUACAGGGUGACAGCCCCGUACACAAAAAUGCACAUGCUGUGAGCUCGAUGAGUAGGGCGGGACACGUGGUAUCCUGUCUGAAUAUGGGGGGACCAUCCUCCAAGGCUAAAUACUCCUGACUGACCGAUAGUGAACCAGUACCGUGAGGGAAAGGCGAAAAGAACCCCGGCGAGGGGAGUGAAAAAGAACCUGAAACCGUGUACGUACAAGCAGUGGGAGCACAGAGCAAUCUGUGUGACUGCGUACCUUUUGUAUAAUGGGUCAGCGACUUAUAUUCUGUAGCAAGGUUAACCGAAUAGGGGAGCCGAAGGGAAACCGAGUCUUAACUGGGCGUUAAGUUGCAGGGUAUAGACCCGAAACCCGGUGAUCUAGCCAUGGGCAGGUUGAAGGUUGGGUAACACUAACUGGAGGACCGAACCGACUAAUGUUGAAAAAUUAGCGGAUGACUUGUGGCUGGGGGUGAAAGGCCAAUCAAACCGGGAGAUAGCUGGUUCUCCCCGAAAGCUAUUUAGGUAGCGCCUCGUGAAUUCAUCUCCGGGGGUAGAGCACUGUUUCGGCAAGGGGGUCAUCCCGACUUACCAACCCGAUGCAAACUGCGAAUACCGGAGAAUGUUAUCACGGGAGACACACGGCGGGUGCUAACGUCCGUCGUGAAGAGGGAAACAACCCAGACCGCCAGCUAAGGUCCCAAAGUCAUGGUUAAGUGGGAAACGAUGUGGGAAGGCCCAGACAGCCAGGAUGUUGGCUUAGAAGCAGCCAUCAUUUAAAGAAAGCGUAAUAGCUCACUGGUCGAGUCGGCCUGCGCGGAAGAUGUAACGGGGCUAAACCAUGCACCGAAGCUACGGCAGCGACGCUGAUGCGUUGUUGGGUAGGGGAGCGUUCUGUAAGCCUGCGAAGGUGUGCUGUGAGGCAUGCUGGAGGUAUCAGAAGUGCGAAUGCUGACAUAAGUAACGAUAAAGCGGGUGAAAAGCCCGCUCGCCGGAAGACCAAGGGUUCCUGUCCAACGUUAAUCGGGGCAGGGUGAGUCGACCCCUAAGGCGAGGCCGAAAGGCGUAGUCGAUGGGAAACAGGUUAAUAUUCCUGUACUUGGUGUUACUGCGAAGGGGGGACGGAGAAGGCUAUGUUGGCCGGGCGACGGUUGUCCCGGUUUAAGCGUGUAGGCUGGUUUUCCAGGCAAAUCCGGAAAAUCAAGGCUGAGGCGUGAUGACGAGGCACUACGGUGCUGAAGCAACAAAUGCCCUGCUUCCAGGAAAAGCCUCUAAGCAUCAGGUAACAUCAAAUCGUACCCCAAACCGACACAGGUGGUCAGGUAGAGAAUACCAAGGCGCUUGAGAGAACUCGGGUGAAGGAACUAGGCAAAAUGGUGCCGUAACUUCGGGAGAAGGCACGCUGAUAUGUAGGUGAAGCGACUUGCUCGUGGAGCUGAAAUCAGUCGAAGAUACCAGCUGGCUGCAACUGUUUAUUAAAAACACAGCACUGUGCAAACACGAAAGUGGACGUAUACGGUGUGACGCCUGCCCGGUGCCGGAAGGUUAAUUGAUGGGGUUAGCGCAAGCGAAGCUCUUGAUCGAAGCCCCGGUAAACGGCGGCCGUAACUAUAACGGUCCUAAGGUAGCGAAAUUCCUUGUCGGGUAAGUUCCGACCUGCACGAAUGGCGUAAUGAUGGCCAGGCUGUCUCCACCCGAGACUCAGUGAAAUUGAACUCGCUGUGAAGAUGCAGUGUACCCGCGGCAAGACGGAAAGACCCCGUGAACCUUUACUAUAGCUUGACACUGAACAUUGAGCCUUGAUGUGUAGGAUAGGUGGGAGGCUUUGAAGUGUGGACGCCAGUCUGCAUGGAGCCGACCUUGAAAUACCACCCUUUAAUGUUUGAUGUUCUAACGUGGACCCGUAAUCCGGGUUGCGGACAGUGUCUGGUGGGUAGUUUGACUGGGGCGGUCUCCUCCUAAAGAGUAACGGAGGAGCACGAAGGUUGGCUAAUCCUGGUCGGACAUCAGGAGGUUAGUGCAAUGGCAUAAGCCAGCUUGACUGCGAGCGUGACGGCGCGAGCAGGUGCGAAAGCAGGUCAUAGUGAUCCGGUGGUUCUGAAUGGAAGGGCCAUCGCUCAACGGAUAAAAGGUACUCCGGGGAUAACAGGCUGAUACCGCCCAAGAGUUCAUAUCGACGGCGGUGUUUGGCACCUCGAUGUCGGCUCAUCACAUCCUGGGGCUGAAGUAGGUCCCAAGGGUAUGGCUGUUCGCCAUUUAAAGUGGUACGCGAGCUGGGUUUAGAACGUCGUGAGACAGUUCGGUCCCUAUCUGCCGUGGGCGCUGGAGAACUGAGGGGGGCUGCUCCUAGUACGAGAGGACCGGAGUGGACGCAUCACUGGUGUUCGGGUUGUCAUGCCAAUGGCACUGCCCGGUAGCUAAAUGCGGAAGAGAUAAGUGCUGAAAGCAUCUAAGCACGAAACUUGCCCCGAGAUGAGUUCUCCCUGACUCCUUGAGAGUCCUGAAGGAACGUUGAAGACGACGACGUUGAUAGGCCGGGUGUGUAAGCGCAGCGAUGCGUUGAGCUAACCGGUACUAAUGAACCGUGAGGCUUAACCUU
rnacentral:rRNA from 1 species